rnacentral:lncRNA from 1 species
CGUGUGCCGACACCCAAUGUUUCAGUUGUUGACCUUGUGAUCAAUGUUGCGAAGAAGGGUAUUUCAGCUGAAGAUGUCAAUGCAGCAUUUAGAAAGGCAGCUGAGGGGCCACUGAAAGGUGUGUUGGAUGUGUGUGAUCUUCCGCUAGUGUCUGUUGACUUCCGCUGCACUGAUGUUUCUUCAACUAUUGACUCUUCCUUGACUAUGGUCAUGGGAGAUGAUAUGGUGAAGGUGGUUGCUUGGUAUGACAAUGAAUGGGGUUACAGGUUAGGUCACUAUCCAUAUAAUAAGUUUCAUGUCAUGUCACUAACUUCCAAUCCAAUAGAUAGAUACAAAUAGAACAUCCAUGCAUCUUUUUAUGUCGUUGCAAUAUAGAUCAUGUUAUUGAUAGUUACAAUGUUGGUAA